rnacentral:lncRNA from 1 species
AAUUGAGUAAUUAAUUACUUACGGCACCUUCCCUCUGCUGCGCUCCAGGUGGAACACCCACUGCUUCCGUGACCGGCAUUUUUCUACCUACAGACCUCAAGGAGAGCAACCAGCAACCAGGAGACCAACCAGUGUCCAUCGAGGACAGGCAAGAACUGGUCUGGGAAGAGCUUUAUGUCAAUAGCACGCUCUAAUCUCUAGGAAGAGCCAGUGAACCCCUCUGCCAAUCCUUUUCACAUACACACUGGAGGAGGAAAAGGAAGACCAAGAGGAAGAGGAAGAAGAAGAAGAAGAAGAGAAACGUUGAUAUGGGUCAAAGCCAAGGAAACAUUUGGGCCAUAGUGGUAAAUCAAUAAAGGAUUAAAAGCUUUUCUGCAUUAGUUCCUUUUUCCUGUUGAUAUU